AACGAACGCUGGCGGCAGGCUUAACACAUGCAAGUCGAGCGCCCCGCCAGGGGAGCGGCCGACGGGUGAGUAACGCGUGGGAACGUACCUUUUGGUUCGGAACAACUCCGGGAAACUGGAGCUAAUACCGGAUAAGCCCUAACGGGGAAAGAUUUAUCGCCGAAAGAUCGGCCCGCGUCUGAUUAGCUAGUUGGAGAGGUAACGGCUCACCAAGGCGACGAUCAGUAGCUGGUCUGAGAGGAUGAUCAGCCACACUGGGACUGAGACACGGCCCAGACUCCUACGGGAGGCAGCAGUGGGGAAUAUUGGACAAUGGGCGCAAGCCUGAUCCAGCCAUGCCGCGUGAGUGAUGAAGGCCUUAGGGUUGUAAAGCUCUUUUGUCCGGGAAGAUAAUGACUGUACCGGAAGAAUAAGCCCCGGCUAACUUCGUG
rnacentral:rRNA from 1 species